rnacentral:lncRNA from 1 species
UAAGUAGAAAAACCUCUAGCUCAAGUUAUGAAAAGUCUUGGCCCCCAUAUAAAAAAAAAAAAAAAACAUAAAAUAUGAAAAGAAAAGAAAAAGAAAGAAAAAUGGGGCUAGCAAAGUUGUUAGGAGCUAAGUAAUGUUUUGAGGUUGUGAAAAAUCCCUUGUAGAUUUCAAAGAAAAGAAGUUAAUGUUCUUAGGAUCUUUUGGUGAGAGAUGUGAGUUGGGUUUGACAUUUGAGAAUGAUUGUGUAAUUGUAUGUUUGGGAAAAGGGUAGAACAAUGGAGAUUGAGCAUUGUAUGCAUGAGUUGGUCCUUUUCUUAGAUAUAUUAUGUGCAAUGUCAAGGCUACUUGUUUCGAGAGUAAACCACCGUAAAGAUUUUAUGUUUCGAACCUUUUGAAUCACUUGAAUAAAAGUCUUCCCUUACCCAAAUGACUUGGACCGACUGACCAUUUGCAAGAAUCCACCUGAUGUUUUGUGCUUAAUGAAUGUGAGAGUUGGUUGAUUUGAAUGUGUGGAUGCUUGAUGAUGAAUGUAAGGGCAAAAA